CCCCUAGGCCUGCUCGGAUUGAGUGUAUUUUUAGUGGGGGGCUGGUACUUAGUUACCAACCCCCAACUAAAAAUACACUCAAUUCAAGCAGCUGGCCCUUAAUUG